AAUUUAAAAUUAAAAUAAAAUCUUAAGAUAGCUUUUUAAAAGCCAUUGAAGGUUAUAUUUCUUCUUCUUUGUUUUUUUCAUUUAUUCCCUUAGUAAAAAAAAGCUUAAUUUCUUUGACGGAAAUUAGGUGCUGUAUCUAUGUAUAGUAAGGUACUCGUCGUACAUCAAACCAAACAACCAUUUUAACGGAAACGGAAGGUAAAAUUAACAAAAGAAAAACAAAAGAUAAAAUCAAGUAAUUUGGCGCUGAAUGAAGUUGUUCCACGUUGCAAGGAUACGGAUAUUCUCGUCGUAUUGUAAACCACAAUAUAGCCUUCUAUACCAUUGUAAACAUAAUGACGAAACUCAUAACAUUUAGUUAACUGUUUUUUUUUUUAUUUUGUUUGUUGUUGUUGUCUUCUUCACAUUGUUCAUAUUGUUGGUUUUAUUUGCUUGCUCGAACCUCAUAACCUAAAUGUUAAAUUUGGAGGCAGAAACAGAAACAGAAUGAAGGAUGAAAUCUAACGAUCCUUGCGUUGAUAUAUUUCGGAGCCAAAUAAACCUGUUUUCUGUGGCCAAAUGGCGGUUCUUUUAAUGUAGAAGCAUCUUAUGAGUAUAAAAGUCUAUGGCAACACAGAAAAAAAAAACGACAUAGAACGACAAGAGAAGAGGUAUAAAGCGGAAAGAGUCAACGGAGGAAACAAACAAACAAGCAAAUAGUAAAAAAAAUAAA